rnacentral:piRNA from 1 species
UAGUGUCAGACACAACACACAGACACACACAC